rnacentral:tRNA from 1 species
GGGGUUGUAGCUCAGUGGUAGAGCGCUUGCCUCACACGUGUGAGGCACUGGGUUUGAUUCUCAGCACCA